rnacentral:rRNA from 1 species
UACGUAGGGUGCGAGCGUUAAUCGGAAUUACUGGGCGUAAAGCGUGCGCAGGCGGUUUUGUAAGCCAGAUGUGAAAGCCCGGGCUUAACCUGGGAAUGGCAUUUGGGACUGCAAGGCUUGAGUGCGGCAGAGGAGACUGGAAUUCCUGGUGUAGCAGUGAAAUGCGUAGAUAUCAGGAGGAAUACCGAUGGCGAAGGCAGGUCUCUGGGCUGACACGUGACGCUCAUGCACGAAAGCGUG